rnacentral:rRNA from 1 species
AUUGAACGCUGGCGGCAUGCCUUACACAUGCAAGUCGAACGGCAACAGGUCUUCGGAUGCUGACGAGUGGCGAACGGGUGAGUAAUACAUCGGAACGUGCCCGAUCGUGGGGGAUAACGGAGCGAAAGCUUUGCUAAUACCGCAUACGAUCUACGGAUGAAAGCAGGGGACCGCAAGGCCUUGCGCGGACGGAGCGGCCGAUGGCAGAUUAGGUAGUUGGUGGGAUAAAAGCUUACCAAGCCGACGAUCUGUAGCUGGUCUGAGAGGACGACCAGCCACACUGGGACUGAGACACGGCCCAGACUCCUACGGGAGGCAGCAGUGGGGAAUUUUGGACAAUGGGCGAAAGCCUGAUCCAGCCAUGCCGCGUGCAGGAUGAAGGCCUUCGGGUUGUAAACUGCUUUUGUACGGAACGAAAAGACUCUUUCUAAUAAAGAGGGUCCAUGACGGUACCGUAAGAAUAAGCACCGGCUAACUACGUG